AUGCAAAGAGAAUCCAUUCCGAAGUGCUUUAGAGCUGAGACAAGAACUGAUUGUAAAGCUCGAAUGACUCUUACAUUGGAUCGAGAGUCUGGAAAUUUGGAAGUCACGGAUGUAGUUCUUGAACAUAAUCACUUGCUUCACUUGCCACAAACCCGCCAUCUCAUGGUGUCCCAAAGGAAAAUUUCAGAAUUUCAAGCAUAUGAAAUUGAAGCCGCAAAUGAUUCUGGAAUUAGGCCUAAAGUUGCAUAUGAGCUUGCUACUCGUCAGGUUGGCGGACCACUUAAUCUCAGCUACACUUGUCGAGACCACAGAAAUCUUUUGCAAAGCAAGAGGCAAAGAGAGCUUGGUUUUGGUCAGGCAGGCAGCAUGUUAAAGUACUUUCGUGGAAAAGUUGCUGAAAAUCCAUCAUUUCAAUAUGCUUUGCAACUGGAUUGCGAGGAGAAUAUAUCAAACAUUUUCUGGGCUGAUGCUAAAAUGAUGUUAGACUAUGCACACUUUGGCGAUGUUGUCACAUUUGACACUACUUUUGGUACAAACAAGGAAUAUAGGCCAUUUGGUGUUUUUCUUGGGCUCAAUCAGUUUAGGGAGACUACAGUUUUUGGUGCUGCACUAAUGUUUGACGAAACAUUUGCCUCAUUCAAAUGGCUCUUUGAAACUUUCCUAGGUGCGCAUAAUGGAAGGCAACCUAGAACUAUUUAUACCGAUCAAGAUUAUGCAAUGGGUAGAGCUGUAGAGGAUGUGUUCACAGAAGCAUAUCAUGGACUGUGUACAUUUCACAUAAUGCAAAAUGCUGUGAAACAUCUAUCUCCAAUUAAGGGUGAAUAUGAAGACGAGGGUGAAGAGAAAGAGGAGGGUGAAGGCAAAGAUGAAGAUGAAGAAUCACAUAUUCUCACUGAUUUUAGUGCUUGUAUGUAUGGCUAUGAGGACAAGGUUGAGUUUGAAGAAGCAUUUGCCAACAUGAGGUUAAAGAUGCAUAAGCAAACUUGGUUCGAUAGUAUCUACAAGGUAAAAGAAAAGUGGGUUGAAUGUUUUAUGAGAGAUGUCUUCAGUUUGGGAGUGAGAAGUACACAAUUAAGUGAGAGCUUCAACAAUUCAUUGAAGAACCAUUUGAAAUCUGAUUUUCAUAUUGUUAGAUUUUUAAAGGAUUUUGAAAGGAUAGUGGAACAAAAAAGAAACAAAGAGCAUUUUAAAGCAUUUUCAUAUUGUUCUAAUAUGUAG
rnacentral:rRNA from 1 species